GGUGGCUCAGUGGUAGAGCGCUUGUCUUGCAUGCAUGAGGCCCUGGAUUCAAUUCUUCAGCACCA
rnacentral:tRNA from 1 species